UUAAAGGGGUAUUCCGGUAAAGUAACUUUAUUUUUGAAAAACUGCAUUAAGGCUGCAAGCUGUGACCCAACCAGAUCCCACACCUAUACCUAUAACCAGAGCUUCAACUUACCUUGCAAUCCAUUUGUGCAG